CGGAGGCAGCAACAACCGUUGCAUCUGCAGCUACAACAACGACGACAGCAGCAUCAGUGACCACUGCAACUACCAAGAAAACAACAAGGAGAUGCUGGAGGGGAAACAAUUGGUGCAACACCCGCAAGCAAGUGAAGUGCAAGAACCCCAAGAAGUGCAUCAAGACUAUUGUGGUAGUGCGUCGCAGAAGGAACUAAAAAUCUACAUAUUCCAAAAUAACAAACAAUAAAUUUUACGACUGCUCUGAAAUCAUACAAGUUUUAUAUUUACAUCCGGCCAAUAGGGGUUCUUUUCUUACACGAGAAGUAAGGCAUUUAACUUGUCCGGCUCCUGGACAUCUAGAAUAUAGACAGUCAGAGGAUUCAUUAAUUUGUC
rnacentral:lncRNA from 1 species